CCUACGGGAGGCAGCAGUGGGGAAUAUUGGGCAAUGGGCGAAAGCCUGACCCAGCAACGCCGCGUGAAUGAAGAAGGCUUUCGGGUUGUAAACUUCUUUUGACAGGGAAGAGCAGAAGACGGUACCUGUCGAAUAAGCCACGGCUAACUACGUGCCAGCAGCCGCGGUAAUACGUAGGUGGCAAGCGUUGUCCGGAUUUACUGGGGGUAAAGGGCGUGUAGCCGGGCUGACAAGUCAGAUGUGAAAUCCGGGGGCUCAACCCCCGAACUGCAUUUGAAACUGUUGGUCUUGAGUAUCGGAGAGGCAGGCGGAAUUCCUAGUGUAGCGGUGAAAUGCGUAGAUAUUAGGAGGAACACCAGUGGCGAAGGCGGCCUGCUGGACGACAACUGACGGUGAGGCGCGAAAGCGUGGGGAGCAAACAGGAUUAGAUACCCCUGUAGUC
rnacentral:rRNA from 1 species